CGACAACUACUAAAUUUAAAUUUUAACAAUGUAGUGCCAGGAUACUCGCCACAGUGUCCCCAAUUACGGCGAGUCCUUAAUAAUUACAUCUAAAUCACGUUAAUAUUAGUAUUGAAUAAUCUAAUAACAGACAACUGACAUUACGCUUAACAAAACAUAACAUACAACAAAACAUAACAUACAUGCAACUAGCAACAUCUUAAAACACCGUCCAGGGACCUCGCCCUUCUACAUUUAACACAUAUCGACUUCCAUGUGCGUGGAUCGUCACAAUGGUAUAUUUUGGAUAGCGCG